UAUUACACCUUCAUGGUUUGUAUUGGCUUCAUCUGGGGAUAUCAACGAGUAAGAAAGGAUAGAAAUUGUAUCCUGGACUUCCCACAUCUCACAAGUCAACUAUAUCCCUUCCCCAGGCAGUUUAGACAGCGCUGAACCCUGUUACCAUCACAAGUAGGGCAAAGGCAAGGGUUCACAGCAAUGGGAUCAUAUAAAGGCGACCACUU
rnacentral:misc_RNA from 1 species